rnacentral:rRNA from 1 species
CGCGAAUGGCUCAUUACAACAGCUAUAAUUUACUUGAAUUUGACAACCCUACUUGGAUACCGGUGGUAAUUCUAGCGCUAAUACAUGCACCAAAGCUCCGACCGCGAGGGAAGAGCGCAUUUAUUAGAACAAAACCACACGGCUUCGGCCGUCCAAUGUUGACUCAGAAUAACUAAGCUGAUCGCAUGGUCUUGCACCGGCGACGUUUCUUUCAAGUAUCUGCCUUAUCAACUUUCGAUGGUAGUGUAUCUGACUACCAUGGUGAUGACGGGUAACGGAGGAUAAGGGUUCGACUCCGGAGAAGGGGCCUGAGAAAUGGCCACUACGUUUAAGGAUGGCAGCAGGCGCGCAAAUUACCCACUCUCAGUACGAGGAGGCAGUGACGAAAAAUAACAAGGCCGUUCUCUUUGAGGCCGGCCAUUGGAAUGGGUACAACUUAAACCCUUUAACGAGUAUCUAUGAGAGGGCAAGUCUGGUGCCAGCAGCCGCGGUAAUUCCAGCU